AUUGAACGCUAGCGGAAUGCCUACACAUGCAAGUCGAACGAGUGGCGAACGGGUGCGUGAUGUAUCGGAACGUGCCCAUUAGCAGUCGAUAACUACGCGAAAGCGUGCUUUACCACAUACUAUUAAGGCGGCCUCUGUCGGAGUAGCUAGUUGGAGGGGUAACGGCUCACCAAGGCGACGAUCCGUAGCCGGUUUGAGAGGACGAUCAGCCACACUGUGACUGAGACACGGACCAGACUCCUACGGGAGGCAGCAGUGGGGAAUUUUGGACAAUGGGGGAAACCCUGACCCAGCAAUCCCGCGUGUGCGAGGAAGGCUUCGGGUGGUAAAGCACUUUUGGCAGAGAAGCGGUACCUGCAGAAUAAGCACCGGCUAACUACGUGCCAGCAGCCGCGGUAAUUC
rnacentral:rRNA from 1 species